rnacentral:rRNA from 1 species
CACGUAGGGGACGAGCGUUGUCCGGAUUCAUUGGGCGUAAAGAGCUCGUAGGCGGCUUGUCGCGUCGACUGUGAAAACCCGUGGCUCAACCAUGUGGUCUGCAGUCGAUACGGGCAGGCUAGAAUUCGGUAGGGGAGACUGGAAUUCCUGGUGUAGCGGUGAAAUGCGCAGAUAUCAGGAGGAACACCGGUGGCGAAGGCGGGUCUCUGGGCCGAUAUUGACGCUGAGGAGCGAAAGCGUGGGGAGCGAACAGG